rnacentral:rRNA from 1 species
GACGAACGCUGGCGGCGUGCCUAAUACAUGCAAGUCGAACGCAGUGGGGACGGGUGAGUAACCCGUGGGUAACCUCCCCUCAGAGGGGAUAACACUUGGAAACAGGUGCUAACCCGAUACGGAUGGAUGGACCCGCGGUGCAUUAGCUAGUUGGUGAGGUAACGGCUCACCAAGGCCACGAUGCAUAGCCGGCCUGAGAGGGUGAGCGGCCACACUGUGACUGAGAGACGGACAAGACGCCUACGGGAGGCAGCAGUAGGGAAUUUGCGGCAAUGGACGAAAGUCUGACAGAGUGACGCCGCGUGAGUGAAGAAGGUUUUCGGAUCGUAAAACUCUGUUGUUAGAGAAGCGGUAUCUAACCAGAAAGCCACGGCUAACUACGUGCCAGCAGCCGCGGUAAUUC